CUAGGGACGCGCAUUUCAAGCGCCCGUGCCAUCGGGUCAAACCGGUGGCUGCGUUGGCGUUGCGGGCUCGGUCCGUCGGUGCCCCACAAAGGGCUACUGGCGUGUCAACCGGCCCGCCCGUCCCCUCCUUCUGGAUUCCCGUUCCUGCUAUUGAGUUAGUGGGGACGUCACAGGGGGUCCAUCGUCGUGCGGCGUCAAAACCGUGCGGCGGUGGGUCCCUGGGGCCCAGAUCGUUUACCGUGAAAAAAUUAGAGUGUUCAAAGCAGGCAGAUCCAAUUUUCUGCCACCGAAUACAUUAGCAUGGGAUAAUGGAAUAGGACCCUGUCCUCCUAUUUUCAGUUGGUUUUGGCAGCGCGAGGACUAGGGUAAUGAUUAAUAGGGAUAGUUGGGGGCAUUAAUAUUUAAUUGUCAGAGGUGAAAUUCUUGGAUUUAUGAAAGAUUAACUUCUGCGAAAGCAUCUGCCAAGGAUGUUUUCAUUAAUCAAGAACGAAAGUUAGGGGAUCGAAGACGAUCAGAUACCGUCGUAGUCUUAACCAUAAACGAUGCCGACCAGCGAUUAGGAGACGUUGAAUACAAAACACCACCAUCGGCGCGGUCGUCCUUGGCGUCUCGGUCCUUCACGGGGCCGGGGCGCGGGGGCGGCUUAGCCCGGUGGCACCGGUGAAUGACUCCCCUAGCAGCUUGUGAGAAAUCAUAAGUCUUUGGGUUCCGGGGGGAGUA
rnacentral:rRNA from 1 species